rnacentral:rRNA from 1 species
UACGUAGGGGGCAAGCGUUGUCCGGAAUCAUUGGGCGUAAAGCGCGUGUAGGCGGCUCGAUAAGUCUGCUGUGAAAGUCCAGGGCUCAACCCUGGGAUGCCGGUGGAUACUGUCGAGCUCGAGUCCGGAAGAGGCGAGUGGAAUUCCUGGUGUAGCGGUGAAAUGCGCAGAUAUCAGGAGGAACACCAGUGGCGAAGGCAGGCUC